rnacentral:lncRNA from 1 species
UUGCACAGCAGCUUGCCCUGCAGUGCCCCAGCUGGGAAACCUACGGAGUGCACAUUCACGUACAGCAGGCCCUGCUGCAGCGCCUCGAUGAAGUUCAUGUGGUUGUUGUCGGGGUCCCAAGCCGCGACUCGCUCCGUGGUGAGCGGCGCAGUGAAGCUGAUGAUGCCGCGGAAGCUCAGAGGCGGGUUGAGCGGCAUGGGCCUGGUGCCGUUGAGUACGGGCAGCAGAUCCAGACGAAUGGGUUUGCCGGUGGCGUUCUGUUGGGAUGGGUAGGAGGGUGGGGCAGGAGGGUGGGGUGGGGUGGGUGGGGGUGGGUGGGAGCUGAAUAGCGCAGUGGCGGGGAGUGGCCAGUCGGGGACUGGGUGCAGGUGGCGGGUUAGGGGUUAGCCAGCGGUUGGAGCUUGCGUGUAAAAGAAACGCAUCGGGAUGCGUGGAGGAGGUUGCAAAUGUUGAGAGGUGUGCGAGGGUGAGGUAGCCACAACCUUACAUGGAUAAUACUAUUACUGCAUUGCAUAGAGGUGUAGAUGAAAGGAUUGAGGAUUAAAUGAGGCAAUAGACCGAGUCGUGGCUGAGUCAGACGCAUAGGAUGGGGAGCAAGGCCAAGGCCAAAUUGACGGCAAUGCCUGGCAAUGUGCCAAACCUGGAAUUGGCAGACAGGGACGUCGGUGCAGGAUCAGUUCCGUCCGUUGGGGAUGAGCGAGGUCCGAACAUCGGAAUGAUUAAAGCCACGCAUAGCUAGCGGAAAGAAUGGAUUGAAGAGGAGAGAGAGCGUGAAGAUCUCCCAGGGGAAGCGUGAGGCCCAUUGGAGCCCGGACACACCUCGCGUGCGCAACUAAGGUAGGGGUAGUUGCGUAGUCCCUACCAAACACCAACCUACCAAGUGAAUGUGCGCCAUCGUCAUCUGGCUCAGGGCCCCGGUCAUAUUGACCGUGACGUUAGCAGGUCCCUGACCGGGCCGAGGCCAGACCAUGGCCACGGAUCCCCGGACUAUCAAGCUCUGUCAUGGGGAAUGCAGGGAAAAGGGUCUUCAUGAACCCAGCUUUACCGAAAGUGACCCUUUAUAAUACAUUAUUGCUACAAAUGGAACAUGUUAGCCUUUAUGCUCUACUAACGCACAAAGUGCACCAUCGCCUUGGCAUAGUCACGUAAUGGCAGCUUCCAGGCAGGUCUUACCUUGUCUACAGGAGAGAGAUUCGCCACAGCCACAAUUGAACCAUAAGGGGCAUUUGGCCAUUUGGUAUCUGCUUUUGCAACGCCAACAGCCAAUACGAGCACCACAAGGGUAAGCACAAACGCGUGGAUUUUCAUCAUAACUUAUCUUCAACUGCUGACCUGUAAGUGAAAUAAGGAAAAUCAAUUAGGCUUAAAAGGCGGCAGGUAUUCUUAUAACUUACAAGUCGUCUCAGUACAGAUACCGUACAGCGUGCAAAUCUCCGAGCUACCCAAGUUACUGAUGAGGCGUUUGAGGCUCCUAAAGCAUUCCGCUCAUGCAACUUAGCAGGUCUGUGGAACAGCGGGCGAUUGUUUGGGAUUACUUGAUAAUCGACACACCGCCCGGUACCGUGUAACCAUUCGUAGCUUUCGAUGGGAAAGCCAAGGUACUUAUUUCCUAGCAAGUCCUGCACGAGUGCUUGUAACUUCAAUUUCUAAAAGGGUACUCUGUGACAGUAACCAAGGAAGCCGAUUUCAGUUUCUACGCCAGCCAGGGUCGCCCUGAGCAUCUAUCCGUGAAUCACCUGAUUAUGCAUAAUCAUCUACUCUUGCAUUGCACGAGUUUUUAACAACUAUGUCUUGGGCUCGGCAGCAUGCGAGCUAUGCAGCAUUCAAUACGAACAAUACGAAUAGGAGCUACAGUAACAACUGACCACCACAGGCAAUUGAGAAGCAUGAGCUAGUAUUUAUCGUUUUCUCUUUCUUCUGUUGUGCGACUGAAGCGGCUCAUGAGCCUCGGGGUUUGUUUAAGCCGUACGAGCUCGCUGAAGCUUGUAAUAUCCUACCCUAUCCUAUCCCUACCACGGCGAAGCACCACAAUGGGCAACAAAUAAGCAAAUAGAACAAUCGGCGUGUCGGGAAUCGGUCCACAUUCCGCAGUUGACGAACUGGGAAGGGUCUGUGCUGGAGGUAAGAAGUAGGUCAAUGCUUCGACAUGUUAUAAAUAAUUGAACGCUGAUGAUAUAUAUGAUGCAGUAAACGGCAACCAUCAGAAGGCCUGCGGCACACCAUGGCAAACUGCGUAACGGAAAGAGAUACAUAGCGCAUUACGCCACCGUUAGGUUGCCAGUGGGAAGCAUACUUAAAGAGUUCGCAAGGCGGCUCGACACCCGGUGGGAGUGCCCGGAUACCCUAGGUGAUCCACGCACCUUCCCAAGUGGAAGUACCGGUGUCAAGGCAUGUCGCUAUCUGAACUGGAUGGGGGCACCCCCGCUUAGGGGCACACGGCAUAAUAGGCUGGCCCACGCUGAAAUCGCCACGCCCCAACGUUUGCAUCAAAAUGCUUACCGUACCGCUAUGGCCGAUUGGUGAUUUCUGGAUUGGUGAAAGUAAAAAACGCUUCUAGAAUUAAUCUUUCCAACACCGGAAUUGGUGAUACGGUUUGGUGUUACCCCGUCCACUUUUUCCCAUUGCCACCGAAUUGGUGAAAGCCGCCAACCGGACUGCCCCCCGUUCACUGUGGGCCCUCCGAGGCGCCCCAGGCCCACAUCAACCAAUCUGCAGUCGCAUGUAAACGUUUCUAGAUGCACGCCGUCGCAUACAGCAUCGCGCGCGCGCGCAGCAAAGUGACCCUUAAACUCAUGCACAGUUUGUCUAGCCUGGAUCCAAAACGUACAGGGAUUGGUGAUGGCCGCCGCUCAAUCCCAGCCCGGAUUAUCCUUUGCUACUGGAUUGGUGAUUUUCACCAAUCCGGUGUCACCAAUCGGCCAUAGCGGUACGGUAUGCGUUUCCGGUUAGGCUGUUGGGAGUUAGAGAUUAACCGACGUAACGGCCGUGACCGCACAGCGCGCACCUGCAGGCUUUGUGACUGCGGGGCGGUUGAAGACGAAAUGCAAUGGAAUGCCCGGCGUACACUAGUACACGGGUUAAAUACGAACGUGACCUCGCGUUUCAAGGGCGCAACAUGCGCACGAUGAUCAUGACCGAGGCCCCACCCCUGGUGCACUAGCCAGGUUCCUCACGGAAGUCUGGGAGACCCGGCACGUUGCUCUAAGGCGCUUCGUGCUCAAGCGGACGAGGGAGGAGGAGGAUGGUCCACCACGUAACUGCACUACCGUCCAUGGCCCCCCGGACAGCCCCGCACUUCUGCCAAACUUGUAACUUGUAACAUAGGCCUACGUAACAAACUAUUGACACGGCGAAGGUGUUUUGAUGCAGGACUCUUCUUCUUCUUCUUCUUCUUCUUCAGUGCAGUUCCUUAUAAGUUACUGUCCCCUACGAGGGCUACUGAAAAGCAUGGAUUGUGGCCGGAUUGUGCAGACAUGCAGCACACUGCUGCAAGAAAAAGACCUUAUCACAGACCAGCGUGCAUUGCAGACGGACUGCUCUUAUGCAUUAUUCAAGGGAAAUGGUCUCCCUCGCACCGGCUGUGUGUGAAUUGUGCAAAUGCCUGAAGACAUGCAAGCGCCCAAGCAGAAAUGCAAGCGCCAACAAUGGAGAUGAUCGAUUUGAGACAGACGUGGACCCGGGCCCUCCAGACCCUCGGGAAACAUGCAAAACAUGCAAGCCCAGAACAGGUGCGGAGUUGCUGGUAAUGAACUUUAAAACUUGUUUUAUGGAGCGCUUUCAGCCCAUGGUGUCAUCUCGGAUGGUCGGCCGCUUGGAAAGGAGGGAACCAUUUCCUCCUCACCCCGCUGUGCUACCGGUCCGUGCACGUAACUGUUCGUCAUUCCUCGAAUUGAGGAUCACCGAUCCGCCUCCGUGAGAAGAGAAAUCGCUCGGAAGUACGGGGGUUCGGUCGGCUUAUCGGCCGUUAACAAAUCUCACUAAAGAGUUUCAAGGUGUACAUAGGACGUGCAGCAAGAGUUUUGGCAGCUGCAUGGAGCAAUAUCCCCAUAUACGGACAAACAUUACAGUUUGCAGUUUUCCAGAGCCACGGGGAUGGAGGAGAGCUGGCUGGCGCAGGCAUGGAGCGCCCUCACCACAACAUACUAAACUUGGACAAAAGGGGCGUGCGAUCGCGAUCUUCCCCAAGUCUUAAGUAUACCAGAACCAGAAAUCUCCUUACUCUCGUGCACAUGUCUCCGCACGCAACAUAGUUUAGCAGAGAUUGCUUCAAAUGGUGCAACAAUAAUAUUACCACACACACGUAAAUCGCAAUAACAUGUAGCUAGUGUCACCACAGGCUUAUAACUGCAUAACUUCUGUUGCGCACGACACGAGCUGUGUACACUACAAAUAAUCUUUUCCUUCCACCGUGGAUAGCUACCGCAAGCCAGCGUCCGGCGAUGCAAGCCGGUACAGCCAGCAUGGCUGCUAUAUUCAUCCUCACUGUACUGGAACGUGCCUGCAUUUCUCCUUCCCAACUGAGGGCCCUGCUGCUGUUGGCCCUACAACCAGUCGCUUCCUACAAUCCGCAUGCGUGCUACGAAAGCAGCGAAUAAACACACAGGGCGUGGAUUGAGGAACUGGAAUGCCACAUACUGCAGGACAGGAGCACGCUGCAAACAAAGCUGCAUUAGCCAUGAUUAAAUCCAUAUACCGCAUUUCAUGGCUCAACAAUGCACGAAACCCUAACGUUUCGCAUUAUGAGCUACUAGCAAGGGUGGCCAGAGGAGCCGCUACACAGGGGGAACAUGCAGGGGUCCUUGCACACCAGCUUGCCCUGCACUGCCCCAGCUGGGAAACCUACAGAGUGCACAUUCACGUACAGCAGGCCCUGCUGCAGCGCAUCGAGGAAGCCCAUGCCGCUGUUGUUGGGGUCCCAAGCCGCCGCACGCGUAUAGGUGAGCGGCGCAGUGAAGCUGACGAUGCCGCGGAAGCUCAGAGGCGGGUUGAGCGGCAUGGGCCUGGUGCCGUUGAGUACGGGCAGCAGAUCCAGACGAAUGGGUUUGCCGGUGGCGU